GUCUUUCAUAGACGUGUAUCCAAGCUAAGUUAGUUUGAUUACCUUUUCCUUUUGGUGUUUGUUGGGGAGCUUGUCUGACACUGGUUACUAGCUUGUAACAGCCUCUCCCCUUUCCUCCCUUCUCUCACGUCUCUUCCAUUUCUUCCCUGCUCCUCUUUGUGUUCUGUGCCUCCAUUCUGCCCCCUAGUUUAGUAUUUGGGGCGGCAUUUUUACACACACCCAGUCUGGUGAGUCCCCUUGGUGUGGUGACCACAGCCUGUCAGCCUUGAGGGUUCAAACACUGGUUGUAUCUCAGGUGACCAGGUGUGGUGCACUAGCUUAAUACUAACCAAGUUCAAACUCCUGCGACUAACUUGCAAACAGUAGCGUUAGUGUGCUGGUAGGUGUCUAAUAUGAUCCUGUUCAGCUGGACAUGUGACUAGCUCAGUCCUGGCUAGUAGAUUCCCUUAGAAGAGUAGUGUCCUUUAAGAAUAACCAUCAGGCUAUGAUUGUGAAAUAAAAAAACACAUUGGCUUCUUUUACUGUUUUGUCAUUUCUGAAAAAAAUUAACAUGA
rnacentral:lncRNA from 1 species